UAAGUUAGAAAGGGCGCACGGUGGAUGCCUUGACACUAGGAGUCGAUGAAGGACGGGACUAACGCCGAUAUGCUUCGGGGAGCUGUAAGUAAGCUUUGAUCCGAAGAUUUCCGAAUGGGGAAACCCACCAUACGUAAUGGUAUGGUAUCCUUAUCUGAAUACAUAGGGUAAGGAAGACAGACCCAGGGAACUGAAACAUCUAAGUACCUGGAGGAAGAGAAAGCAAAUGCGAUUUCCUGAGUAGCGGCGAGCGAAACGGAACAUAGCCCAAACCAAGAGGCUUGCCUCUUGGGGUUGUAGGACAUUCUAUACGGAGUUACAAAGGAACGAGGUAGACGAAGCGACCUGGAAAGGUCCGUCGUAGAGGGUAGCAACCCCGUAGUCGAAACUUCGUUCUCUCUUGAAUGUAUCCUGAGUACGGCGGAACACGUGAAAUUCCGUCGGAAUCUGGGAGGACCAUCUCCCAAGGCUAAAUACUCCCUAGUGAUCGAUAGUGAACCAGUACCGUGAGGGAAAGGUGAAAAGCACCCCGGAAGGGGAGUGAAAGAGAUCCUGAAACCGUGUGCCUACAAAUAGUCAGAGCCCGUUAACGGGUGAUGGCGUGCCUUUUGUAGAAUGAACCGGCGAGUUACGAUCCCGUGCGAGGUUAAGCUGAAGAGGCGGAGCCGCAGCGAAAGCGAGUCUGAAUAGGGCGUUUAGUACGUGGUCGUAGACCCGAAACCAGGUGAUCUACCCAUGUCCAGGGUGAAGUUCAGGUAACACUGAAUGGAGGCCCGAACCCACGCACGUUGAAAAGUGCGGGGAUGAGGUGUGGGUAGCGGAGAAAUUCCAAUCGAACCUGGAGAUAGCUGGUUCUCCCCGAAAUAGCUUUAGGGCUAGCCUUAAGUGUAAGAGUCUUGGAGGUAGAGCACUGAUUGGACUAGGGGUCCUCAUCGGAUUACCGAAUUCAGUCAAACUCCGAAUGCCAAUGACUUAUCCUUAGGAGUCAGACUGCGAGUGAUAAGAUCCGUAGUCAAAAGGGAAACAGCCCAGACCGCCAGCUAAGGUCCCAAAGUGUGUAUUAAGUGGAAAAGGAUGUGGAGUUGCUUAGACAACUAGGAUGUUGGCUUAGAAGCAGCCACCAUUUAAAGAGUGCGUAAUAGCUCACUAGUCGAGUGACUCUGCGCCGAAAAUGUACCGGGGCUAAAUACACCACCGAAGCUGCGGAUUGAUACCAAUGGUAUCAGUGGUAGGGGAGCGUUCUAAGGACAGUGAAGUCAGACCGGAAGGACUGGUGGAGUGCUUAGAAGUGAGAAUGCCGGUAUGAGUAGCGAAAGACGGGUGAGAAUCCCGUCCACCGAAUGCCUAAGGUUUCCUGAGGAAGGCUCGUCCGCUCAGGGUUAGUCAGGACCUAAGCCGAGGCCGACAGGCGUAGGCGAUGGACAACAGGUUGAUAUUCCUGUACCACCUCUUUAUCGUUUGAGCAAUGGAGGGACGCAGAAGGAUAGAAGAAGCGUGCGAUUGGUUGUGCACGUCCAAGCAGUUAGGCUGAUAAGUAGGCAAAUCCGCUUAUCGUGAAGGCUGAGCUGUGAUGGGGAAGCUCCUUAUGGAGCGAAGUCUUUGAUUCCCCGCUGCCAAGAAAAGCUUCUAGCGAGAUAAAAGGUGCCUGUACCGCAAACCGACACAGGUAGGCGAGGAGAGAAUCCUAAGGUGUGCGAGAGAACUCUGGUUAAGGAACUCGGCAAAAUGACCCCGUAACUUCGGGAGAAGGGGUGCUUUCUUAACGGAAAGCCGCAGUGAAUAGGCCCAAGCGACUGUUUAGCAAAAACACAGCUCUCUGCGAAGCCGUAAGGCGAAGUAUAGGGGGUGACACCUGCCCGGUGCUGGAAGGUUAAGGAGAGGGGUUAGCGUAAGCGAAGCUCUGAACUGAAGCCCCAGUAAACGGCGGCCGUAACUAUAACGGUCCUAAGGUAGCGAAAUUCCUUGUCGGGUAAGUUCCGACCCGCACGAAAGGUGUAACGAUUUGGGCACUGUCUCAACCAGAGACUCGGUGAAAUUAUAGUACCUGUGAAGAUGCAGGUUACCCGCGACAGGACGGAAAGACCCCGUGGAGCUUUACUGUAGCCUGAUAUUGAAUUUUGGUACAGUUUGUACAGGAUAGGCGGGAGCCUUUGAAACCGGAGCGCUAGCUUCGGUGGAGGCGCUGGUGGGAUACCGCCCUGACUGUAUUGAAAUUCUAACCUACGGGUCUUAUCGACCCGGGAGACAGUGUCAGGUGGGCAGUUUGACCGGGGCGGUCGCCUCCUAAAGUGUAACGGAGGCGCCCAAAGGUUCCCUCAGAAUGGUUGGAAAUCAUUCGUAGAGUGCAAAGGCAUAAGGGAGCUUGACUGCGAGACCUACAAGUCGAGCAGGGACGAAAGUCGGGCUUAGUGAUCCGGUGGUUCCGCAUGGAAGGGCCAUCGCUCAACGGAUAAAAGCUACCCCGGGGAUAACAGGCUUAUCUCCCCCAAGAGUCCACAUCGACGGGGAGGUUUGGCACCUCGAUGUCGGCUCAUCGCAUCCUGGGGCUUGUAGUCGGUCCCAAGGGUUGGGCUGUUCGCCCAUUAAAGCGGUACGCGAGCUGGGUUCAGAACGUCGUGAGACAGUUCGGUCCCUAUCCGUCGUGGGCGUAGGAAAUUUGAGAGGAGCUGUCCUUAGUACGAGAGGACCGGGAUGGACGCACCGCUGGUGUACCAGUUGUUCUGCCAAGGGCAUAGCUGGGUAGCUAUGUGCGGAAGGGAUAAGUGCUGAAAGCAUCUAAGCAUGAAGCCCCCCUCAAGAUGAGAUUUCCCAUAGCGUAAGCUAGUAAGAUCCCUGAAAGAUGAUCAGGUUGAUAGGUUCGAGGUGGAAGCAUGGUGACAUGUGGAGCUGACGAAUACUAAUAGAUCGAGGACUUAACCA
rnacentral:rRNA from 1 species